GGAGGGGUGGCAGAGCGGACGAAUGCGGCGGUCUCGAAAACCGUUGCCGGGGGCUUCCCUCGGCCGAGGGUUCGAAUCCCUCCCCCUCCG
rnacentral:tRNA from 1 species